rnacentral:rRNA from 1 species
AUUGAACGCUGGCGGCAGGCCUAACACAUGCAAGUCGAACGGCAGCGGAGGGUAGCUUGCUACCCCGCCGGCGAGUGGCGGACGGGUGAGUGAUGCCUGGGGAGCUGCCCAAUCGAGGGGGAUACCAGUUGGAAACGACUGCUAAUACCGCAUACGCCCUGAGGGGGAAAGGUGGGGAUCUUCGGACCUACCGCGAUUGGAUGCACCCAGGUGGGAUUAGCUAGUUGGUGAGGUAACGGCUCACCAAGGCGACGAUCUCUAGCUGGUCUGAGGGGAUGACCAGCCACACUGGAACUGAGACACGGUCCAGACUCCUACGGGAGGCAGCAGUGGGGAAUAUUGCACAAUGGGGGAAACCCUGAUGCAGCCAUGCCGCGUGUGUGAAGAAGGCCUUCGGGUUGUAAAGCACUUUCAGCGAGGAGGAAAGGGGUGAUGCUAAUACCAUCAUCCUGUGACGUAACUCGCAGAAGAAGCACCGGCUAACUCCGUGCCAGCAGCCGCCGAAAUAC